rnacentral:misc_RNA from 1 species
UUAAACCUCUCCUCGAUCAAUUUUUUUGAUUGAUGGGAAAUAUUACUACUGGCUGCAAGUCCAACCUGGGCUUUACGGCUUAAAAAUUGCUCGGUUUUUCAUUUUUUGACUGACUAUUACCCUUUGGUAGAAACUCUACUAUAAGCAUACCUAGUCACAUCAUCUAGUCUAACCCACCACUUUUUUAC